UAGGGAAUCUUCCACAAUGGACGAAAGUCUGAUGGAGCAACGCCGCGUGAGUGAAGAAGGUUUUCGGAUCGUAAAGCUUUGUUGUUGGUGAAGAAGGAUAGGAGCAGUAACUGGUUUCUAUUUGACGGAAAUCAACCAGAAAGUCACGGCUAACUACGUGCCAG
rnacentral:rRNA from 1 species